UGCAGCAACGCCGCGUGCGUGAUGAAGGUCUUCGGAUCGUAAAGCGCUUUUCUGGGAGAUGAGAAAGGACAGUAUCCCAGGAAUAAGUCUCGGCUAACUACGUGCCAGCAGCCGCGGUAAAACGUAGGAGGCAAGCGUUAUCCGGAUUCACUGGGCGUAAAGCGCGUGCAGGCGGUGCGGUAAGUUAGGCGUGAAAUCUCCCGGCUCAACUGGGAGAGGUCGUCGAAUACUACCGUACUCGAGAGUAGAAGAGGAAGAUGGAAUUCCCGGUGUAGUGGUGAAAUGCGUAGAUAUCGGGAGGAACACCAGUGGCGAAGGCGAUCUUCUGGUCUAUUUCUGACGCUCAGACGCGACAGCUAGGGUAGUAAACGGGAUUAGAGACCCCGGUAAUCCUAGCCGUAAACGAUGUGAACUUGGCGUUGGUGGGUUAAACUCCAUCAGUGCCGUAGCAAACGCGAUAAGUUCACCGCCUGGGGACUACGGCCGCAAGGUUA
rnacentral:rRNA from 1 species